AUUGAACGCUGGCGGCAGGCCUAACACAUGCAAGUCGAGCGAGAAAGGUCUUCGGACUGAGUACAGCGGCGGACGGGUGAGUAAUGCGCAGGAAUCUACCUGGUAGUGGGGGAUAACUCGGGGAAACUCGAACUAAUACCGCGUACGCCCUACGGGGGAAAGCGGGGGACCUUCGGGCCUCGCGCUAUCAGAUGAGCCUGCGUAGGAUUAGCUUGUUGGUGAGGUAAAGGCUCACCAAGGCGACGAUCCUUAGCUGGUCUGAGAGGAUGAUCAGCCACACUGGAACUGAGACACGGUCCAGACUCCUACGGGAGGCAGCAGUGGGGAAUAUUGCGCAAUGGGCGAAAGCCUGACGCAGCCAUGCCGCGUGUGUGAAGAAGGCCCUUGGGUUGUAAAGCACUUUCAAUUGGGAAGAAAGGUUGCGUGUUAAUAGCACGUAGCUGUGACGCUACCUUUAGAAGAAGCACCGGCUAACUCCGUGCCAGCAGCCGCGG
rnacentral:rRNA from 1 species